AGCAGCAGACCUCAGGAGGGAGGAAGGAGCCAGGUCUCUGCACUGCUCCGGCUGCCCGAGCUCCCUUACAUCCCACCACAAACUCUGGAAGACUGCUCUGUGCAGGAAAGCAGAACUGGGGGCCAGCUUGCUUGCCUGUAAGCCCCACCAUGUCUUCCAAAAAAUCACCAGCACCUCAUCUUCCUGCAACUCCAGCGAUCGGCCAGAGGAAGGCUAUGUGCCCCUGGAGGCUGUGGGCAGUGCCAACAGUAUUAACACACACGGAGGGAGAAGGACCUUCUGCCUCAGUCCAGAAGCCGAGUGUGAGCACACGCUCAGGAACAGGCUCAUAGGGCCUAGCCAGAGCUGACCUUGGCAGGUACUUUUGCUCCCUUCUUGGUUAGCAGAGCAAGUGGCAUCGUGGACAACUGAUGGGAGGACCAAAAAGGGAUCUGAAAAGCUGGCCAAUGGCACCCAGUCUAAAGAGUCCCACUCUGGAUUCCUGCUCUCCCAGAGGGAACAGACUGAUUCCACCUCUUCGUUUCCACUGCCACUGCCCCGAUCCCUCAAGCCACCAUCAUCUCUUGCCAGGCAGCUGCAAUAGUCUGUCUCAUAACUGGUAUUCCUGCCUCCACCUUUGCUCCUUAGAAUCCAGUCUCUACACAGUGGCCAGAACAAUCUUUUGGAACAAAUCAGACUUUAUUCUUUCUCUGCUUAAAACCCUCCAAUGGCCUCUAACUGUUCUUGGAAUAAAAUCCAAACUCUUUAUUACGACCUACAAAA
rnacentral:lncRNA from 1 species